AUUGAACGCUGGCGGCAGGCCUAACACAUGCAAGUCGAACGGUAACAGGAAGCAGCUUGCUGCUUUGCUGACGAGUGGCGGACGGGUGAGUAAUGUCUGGGAAACUGCCCGAUGGAGGGGGAUAACUACUGGAAACGGUAGCUAAUACCGCAUAACGUCGCAGGACCAAAGAGGGGGACCUUAGGGCCUCUUGCCAUCGGAUGUGCCCAGAUGGGAUUAGCUAGUAGGUGGGGUAACGGCUCACCUAGGCGACGAUCCCUAGCUGGUCUGAGAGGAUGACCAGCCACACUGGAACUGAGACACGGUCCAGACUCCUACGGGAGGCAGCAGUGGGGAAUAUUGCACAAUGGGCGCAAGCCUGAUGCAGCCAUGCCGCGUGUAUGAAGAAGGCCUUCGGGUUGUAAAGUACUUUCAGCGGGGAGGAAGGGAGUAAAGUUAAUACCUUUGCUCAUUGACGUUACCCGCAGAAGAAGCACCGGCUAACUCCGU
rnacentral:rRNA from 1 species